UACAGAGGUGGCAAGCGUUGUUCGGAAUUACUGGGCGUAAAGGGCGCGUAGGCGGCCAUCUAAGUCAGACGUGAAAUCCCCCGGCUUAACCUGGGAACUGCGUCUGAUACUGGAAGGCUCGAGUUUGGGAGAGGGAUGUGGAAUUCCAGGUGUAGCGGUGAAAUGCGUAGAUAUCGGGAGGAAUACCGGUGGCGAAGGCGGCAUCCUGGACCGGCAUUGACGCUGAGGAGCGAAAGCCAGGGGAGCAAACGGG
rnacentral:rRNA from 1 species